AUUCUUUUGCCAAUUCUUUAACUAGUUCUAUUUCUUCUGCACUUCAUAGUUCAUUACCUAUUUUUUUUCCAAUUCUAAUUCUUUUUCCAAUACACUUUCUGUUUCUAAUUCUGUUCAUGUUUCUGAUUCUAAACCCUCAGGUGUGAGCCUGAGGCAGUGACGGAGCACCUGGUUAAGGUGUGGACAGCCCAGGGAGCACAGGUGGAAGCAGUUCCCCUGUGGAGUGGGACUGGGUGGAGCCAGAGCCCACCUGAGCUCAUUUAAAGGCUGGCAGCUGAAGGGGAAGGGUCUGUGCCUGGAGGUUGCUCUGGCUGUUUGGCUGGUGUUGAGCAGAAGGUUCUGGACACCAGGACUCCUUUCAAGCGAUGUGAGGGCUCCACUGAGGGCCUUGGUGGACACAGCAGGAAGCCACAGCCAAGGCUGAACACCAACAUCAACACUUGAUCUUGUCUGGCAAGGAGCUCCCCUUGGCCUCCGUGUCUCGCUCUGGCCAGGCAGAUGUGGUGUGCCAACGGUACGCAGAGUGCAGAUCCUGAGCAGAAGAACAACUGAGGAGAGAGGCUCCCCUGGGUGAGACAGGAGAAGUGCCCCUUGGAGUGGGGGACGCCCUGCUGGCACUGCCUCUCGCAUCCACCGGCAGCACGUUCCUUCUCUCUCCUUGCUGCCCGGCGCUUUACCGUCUCCCAGGGCUCACCAAGUCCAAAUGUUCCCUGAUGGAGUCCAACUCCAGUUUGACCAACACUCACCCCGUCUUGUCCCCGCACCAGCUGGCUUAGAGCUCCCCAGCACUGCUGGCUGUCCGUGCCUUCUGUCGCUCCCAGUCAGCAUGGCUCUGUUCUUUGUCUUUUGGGUUCCAGAGCAUUUGCUACUGGUUAUGGAGCGUUUCUCUUCUCUCUCUUCUUGUCUUCCAUGUUGCCCGUUGGCGCCUUGGUGGAGUUUCAGUGACCCAAACGCAGGCGGCUCUGCAUUGACCAAGUGUGAUGCCAAAGGAAGAGCUAGGCUUCAAAACAGGCCGCUGGACUGGAGACUCCACCACCAGGUGCCGUUGUCAUUCCUGACCUCCCCAGGUUGCGGCGUUGGACGUGCCCUGAUCCUUGGAAAGGGGUGGCAGUGGGGAGUUGUGACACUCCUGCACGCUGCAAGGGCUCUACUGAGGCUCUUGGUGGACACAGCAGGAACCCACACGCACAGAUGGAUGCCAAGAUCCGCUCCUUCCUCUGUCUGGCAAGCUCUGCUGACCCCUGAGGUCGUUCCCAUGCUUGCGGAGGUUCAAUGGGCUUGGUGUUGGUUGUCGCUUGUGCUCACCUUGCAGUCACCGGGUGUUCUUCCUUUGCCCAUCAUAGGGGUCCCCCGU